rnacentral:RNase_MRP_RNA from 1 species
AGGCGCUUGCUGAAGGCCUGUUGCCUAGGCUACAAACGGGGGACGUGUUCCCCACCCUGCGCCUAGGGGAAAGUCCCCGGACCUCUGGCAGAAAGUGCCACGCGCGCAUGUGCGUUUGGCCGCUGUCGUAGCUCUUGUAUUCCCCGCCAAGAAGCACCUCUACGCUGGUGGAAGCGCUGAGCGGAAGGAGCGCGGCGAGGCCGACCUUAGUCAAGAAAAUAGUUACGCAGGCAGUGUGCACGAGGCGCACUAACUGAACGGGGCUCAUUCUCAGCGCGUC